rnacentral:rRNA from 1 species
CAGCCGCCGCGGUAAUACGAAGGGGGCUAGCGUUGCUCGGAAUUACUGGGCGUAAAGGGAGCGUAGGCGGAUGUUUAAGUCAGAGGUGAAAGCCCAGGGCUCAACCUUGGAACUGCCUUUGAUACUGGACAUCUUGAGUGUGGGAGAGGUAAGCGGAACUCCGAGUGUAGAGGUGAAAUUCGUAGAUAUUCGGAAGAACACCAGUGGCGAAGGCGGCUUACUGGCCCAUUACUGACGCUGAGGCUCGAAAGCGUGGGGAGCAAACAGGAUUAGAUACCCCGGUAGUCCCUGUCUCUUAUAC